CCCUGCCACCACCAGUACGGAUCCCAGACUGAGUCUGCAGUGAGAUGCCAGGGUGGCAGGUCGGAUGCUCUGAGGUGGGGACUUUAUUCUGCAUUGGAUGUGGGGGUAGCUCCCCCCACCUGCCUCUCCACAUCAGUUUUCCAGCCUGACCCUGAGUGGGUAUCAGGCUAGUUUGGGUCUUAUGGUAAGAGCAAGGGAGAACACAUCUAGGACUUCAGCCUUCUAGGCCUCAAGGACCCGGCCUUGGCCUUUUGACCCACCAGACUGACCUGAAGUUAGCCGCAAGUCCGCAUCUUUUUCUCUCACACUCACGAGAAAAACACAUCUACAAGAUUCCAGGAAGGCACAAGGGACCGCUUCUAGACACACGUGAGCACGUGCACACGCGUCUUAUCCUCACGCCCGCCGGCCUUUGAGACGAGGUGCGCGCCUGGCAAGGUGGAUUCCGGUGGAGGAACACGCUGCAGGACUGCCCAAGGAGAGUCCUGUGCACUCUUUUUAGGUCCUUUCCUCCACAAUCCAGGCCCCUAGACCAGUCCAGGACCUCGAAGGAUGCUGCGGCCUGAAGGUGCUUGUGGGUGGCCAAGACUGGAGCCCUGGCAGCCCGAAGAGCCACCGAGCCACCGCCUCGUGUGUCAACGCGCUAGAGAGGCCAUCUCACCUCCGAAGGUGUCUUCACUCCCGGAGGCCCCUGGCUCCCAGCCGCAGCCCUACACUGGGCCCGCGCGCCGGAGAGGAGGCGCUCCUACGGCAAAACCCCCAUACAUUUUUAACUACAGUGAUUACUAAAUUAAUAGCAGGCACUAA